rnacentral:rRNA from 5 species
CUGAGGCGUGACGACGAGGCACUACGGUGCUGAAGCAACAAAUGCCCUGCUUCCAGGAAAAGCCUCUAAGCAUCAGGUAACAUCAAAUCGUACCCCAAACCGACACAGGUGGUCAGGUAGAGAAUACCAAGGCGCUUGAGAGAACUCGGGUGAAGGAACUAGGCAAAAUGGUGCCGUAACUUCGGGAGAAGGCACGCUGACAUGUAGGUGAAGUGAUUUACUCAUGGAGCUGAAGUCAGUCGAAGAUACCAGCUGGCUGCAACUGUUUAUUAAAAACACAGCACUGUGCAAACACGAAAGUGGACGUAUACGGUGUGACGCCUGCCCGGUGCCGGAAGGUUAAUUGAUGGGGUCAGCGCAAGCGAAGCUCCUGAUCGAAGCCCCGGUAAACGGCGGCCGUAACUAUAACGGUCCUAAGGUAGCGAAAUUCCUUGUCGGGUAAGUUCCGACCUGCACGAAUGGCGUAAUGAUGGCCAGGCUGUCUCCACCCGAGACUCAGUGAAAUUGAACUCGCUGUGAAGAUGCAGUGUACCCGCGGCAAGACGGAAAGACCCCGUGAACCUUUACUAUAGCUUGACACUGAACAUUGAGCCUUGAUGUGUAGGAUAGGUGGGAGGCUUUGAAGUGUGGACGCCAGUCUGCAUGGAGCCGACCUUGAAAUACCACCCUUUAAUGUUUGAUGUUCUAACGUGGACCCGUGAUCCGGGUUGCGGACAGUGUCUGGUGGGUAGUUUGACUGGGGCGGUCUCCUCCUAAAGAGUAACGGAGGAGCACGAAGGUUGGCUAAUCCUGGUCGGACAUCAGGAGGUUAGUGCAAUGGCAUAAGCCAGCUUGACUGCGAGCGUGACGGCGCGAGCAGGUGCGAAAGCAGGUCAUAGUGAUCCGGUGGUUCUGAAUGGAAGGGCCAUCGCUCAACGGAUAAAAGGUACUCCGGGGAUAACAGGCUGAUACCGCCCAAGAGUUCAUAUCGACGGCGGUGUUUGGCACCUCGAUGUCGGCUCAUCACAUCCUGGGGCUGAAGUAGGUCCCAAGGGUAUGGCUGUUCGCCAUUUAAAGUGGUACGCGAGCUGGGUUUAGAACGUCGUGAGACAGUUCGGUCCCUAUCUGCCGUGGGCGCUGGAGAACUGAGGGGGGCUGCUCCUAGUACGAGAGGACCGGAGUGGACGCAUCACUGGUGUUCGGGUUGUCAUGCCAAUGGCACUGCCCGGUAGCUAAAUGCGGAAGAGAUAAGUGCUGAAAGCAUCUAAGCACGAAACUUGCCCCGAGAUGAGUUCUCCCUGAGACUUUAGGUCUCCUGAAGGAACGUUGAAGACGACGACGUUGAUAGGCCGGGUGUGUAAGCGCAGCGAUGCGUUGAGCUAACCGGUACUAAUGAACCGUGAGGCUUAACCUU